rnacentral:lncRNA from 1 species
GUUUCAAUUUUUUCUUCUAAUUUGCCGUCCACUGUUUCUCUAAGAUCUCAGGCAAAAUUCCAUUUAUUCAGGUGAGUUGUACAAGAAUUCACUGAAAAAAAAUUAAUCUAAUUAAUUAGGUGUGGAUUUUCUUGAAUUUGUAGAUUGAAAAAAACUGAAGAACAAAGCAGCAUUUCUUGGUAAAGGAUUAAAGAUCUUAUGUGAAUUUUGGUUUUUCAGGCAGAUUGAUAUAAUCUUUUACUGAUCAAAGGCUAAUUUUGCUACUUAUAUGUUGAAAUUAAUGAAGAUGGAAUUUGUAAUCAAUUGCAUUUCAUUUUUCACCUUCUCACUCACUGACUCUACCAUGGCAGGGAUAGUAGAUAGGCUUAGUUUUUAUGGGAUCUGUACUGAAAAAAAUUGUUUUGAUAUAAUUUUACAAAUUUGAGUACAAGGGGUUCUUAAAAAUUAUUUUUUUUAAGAUUCUUGAUAUGUUCUGUUUCACUUCCUGUAAAAAGAAAAAAUUCUUGAUUUUUGCUUAUGGCUUGUAUGGUUUUGUUUUGUAGGAUGACUUCAUAAAACAGUCUUUUUGUUUUCUAGGAGAGACUAGUUUGAGUUUUUAUAUCUGCAAAAAUCUGCCUAUCAUUUCUGUCAAAUUAAAGGAAAUAGAGGCAGAAAGAUUGGAUUUUUACCGGUCACUGCCGCGGCGGUAUGGCCGGGAUGGAAGGAAGCUUUAUUCCAGAAGAAGACUAUUUUCAGAUUGGCACUUCAUGGUUUCCAAUUACUCCAGUAAAACCAGGGUUGUCAUCAAUCUAUGGGAAUGGACAACAAAAUCAGCCAACAGGUCAAGUUAAUGAGGUGGAAUCACUGGGAAUUUCACAAGGACAAGAUCUAAGCAAUGUGAAACAGAUAGAAUUGAGGAAUUUCAUGCAGGAACCUCAUGCUCAAAGUGUGGCUGCAUGUUGUGGUUCGGCAAAUUCAGCAGCUGUGACCGGGUAUUUUGAUGCUUGGGAAUCAGCAGCGGGGAUAGAGUCCAAAAUGUACGAGGAUAACAAUAUUAAAAUGUGCAGUAACGUGCCUACUGAUGAUGUGGACGAAUGGAGCAAUGUGUCUUUUGGACAUCUAUUGGCACUAGCACAUGCUGCUGGUGGCUCCACAGUCACUACUGAAAAUGCAAAUGUUGAAACUAAUUUUACCUUGAAUGGCUCUUUCAAUUCGCUCGUCAGUUUACAGGAUGCAGGUAAAGAAUUGAAAUAUUCAUUGACUCGUCACCAUGGAAUAAUAGAAAUGCAUAACACCUGUAGAAACUUCAAAGUUACGAGAGUCACAUUCCUUGUAUAUGUCAUAAGUGUCUUCAAUGUGGCUCAAUGGCUGUCUCUUGAUGGAUAACUAAGACCUGCAAAAGGAUAGAGAACAGAAUAGAAUAAGAAAACUAAUCAGUGUAGAUUCAAGUAAAAUUACAAUUCCUAGUGGAUAAAUUACCUAGUAUUCAGUUGAACAUUCUAGUGAACACUUCAUAAAGUUGCAAUUAGAUGAGCAACGGAAUCAGGUACCUCGUACUAAAGUCUGAGGUGAAACAAACUGUGAUGUGUAGCAUAUCUGACUUGUGUUUCUCUGAUUGUGUACACUAUUCAAUAAGUGAUGCUUUCUCGAUUAGUCCUGUUAAUUUUUUCUUUUGGUUUAGCAUAGUCAACCGGAAUCGUUAAAAAAGAGCUGCUUUCAUUCUGAGAUUUCUUCAAUAUACUAAUAUGAAAGAUUUGUGUAUCAUGCAGAUGG